UUGGAGGGCAAGUCUGGUGCCAGCAGCCGCGGGUAAUUCCAGCUCCAAUAGCGUAUAUUAAAGUUGUUGCAGUUAAAAAGCUCGUAGUUGAAUUUCGGAAUCAAUAUGUUGGUCGUGCCAUUGGUACGUACUGGCAUUAUUGGUUUCUACCUUCUGAAGAACCUCGAUGUCAUUAAUUUGGUGUCUUGGGGAAUCAGGACUGUUACUUUGAAAAAAUUAGAGUGUUUAAAGCAGGCUCGCGCUUGAAUACAUUAGCAUGGAAUAAUGAAAUAGGACGUUUGAUUCUAUUUUGUUGGUUUCUAGGAUCGACGUAAUGAUUAAUAGGGAUAGUUGGGGGCAUUAGUAUUCAAUUGUCAGAGGUGAAAUUCUUGGAUUUAUUGAAGACUAACUACUGCGAAAGCAUUUGCCAAGGAUGUUUUCAUUAAUCAAGAACGAAAGUUAGGGGAUCGAAGACGAUCAGAUACCGUCGUAGUCUUAACCAUAAACUAUGCCGACUAGGGAUCGGAUGAUGUUAAUUUUUUAAUGACUCAUUCGGCACCUUACGGGAAAC
rnacentral:rRNA from 1 species